rnacentral:rRNA from 1 species
AUACGGAGGAUGCAAGCGUUAUCCGGGUUUAUUGGGUUUAAAGGGUGCGUAGGCGGUUUGCUAAGCGGGAGGUGAAAUGCCGGCGCUCAACGUCGGAAGUGCCUCCCGAACUGGUGGACUUGAAUGACUCUGCCGUGGGAGGAAUGUGUAGUGUAGCGGUGAAAUGCUUAGAGAUUACACAGAACACCGAUUGCGAAGGCAUCUCACGAAGGGUUGAUUGACGCUGAGGCACGAAAGCGUGGGGAUCAAACAGGAUUAGAUACCCUGGUAGUCCACGCAGUAAACGAUGAUGGCUAACCGCUGGGCUUAUCAGUUCAGUGGCCAAGCGAAAGCGAUAAGCCAUCCACCUGGGGAGUACGACCGCAAGGUUGAAACUCAAAUGAAUUGACGGGG